rnacentral:lncRNA from 1 species
GGAGCUCAACUUGGUGGAUAAGGUUUUUCAUUCGAACCGGCUUCCAUGAAAAUGAAUCUGCUGCCAAGAAAUUCGAGCAGGCAGCAGCCAAGAAUUCCUAUGAGUCGACCUGCCAAGUUUUUCACCUCAAACCUUCGCACUGAGAGAGGGCAUCCUUCGUGAAGAUGGUGCUGAGAAGGAUCUUUAGUUUUUAUUGAAUAUUUGGAGAUUGGUUAAAAAGUAGGAAAACAAUUUUGAUGUGCAAAAGAUUUUAUUGUGAGAAUGUGUGGUUGAAAUUUGAAAAUGAGUUUGGUAAAAAUUAGUUUUUAGAUAAUGGGGAACAAACAUGAGCGUAGUUUGACAGUAAUGUAAGUUAAGAAAGAAGUAAAAUAUCUAAACAUGUUUAGAAUCACAAAGUAUGCUAACUACAAAUUUACUCGGAACGAGGCUUUAGUUUGUUGUGUCGUUUGGAAACAAAAAGUUACUAAACAUGCUGGUUUUUGCCUUGUAUAGGCUAAACGGAGGAGCUCAACUUGGUGGAUAAGGUUUUUCAUUCGAACCGGCUUCCAUGAAAAUGAAUCUGCUGCCAAGAAAUUCGAGCAGGCAGCAGCCAAGAAUUCCUAUGAGUCGACCUGCCAAGUUUUUCACCUCAAACCUUCGCACUGAGAGAGGGCAUCCUUCGUGAAGAUGGUGCUGAGAAGGAUCUUUAGUUUUUAUAAUGAUAAAUUAUAUUCAUAAAAUUGGGUUACCACCUUAUUUGAUAUUUCAUUAUGACAGAAGAAUUGGUUGAUUAAAAGCUUUGUUGGUUGUAAGCAAGCAUCCACAGAAUUAUACCAUUAUGCCAAAUUAGGCAUUGGAAGUGAAAUGGACCAUUCUCUAGGGAAUGUUCAUAUUAACUGUAUUUUUUUCCUCAUAAUUGUAAAAGAAAACUAAUUUAUUAUUAUAUAUAUCUUGGAAUCCUCAUAUUUCUAUUUGUGGUCCAAGCCUCACU